GUGUCAGCCGCCGCGGUAAUACAGAGGAUGCAAGCGUUAUCCGGAAUCACUGGGCAUAAAGCGUCUGUAGGUUGCUUGCCAAGUCUGCUGUUAAAGAUCAGGGCCUAACCCUGGGAAAGCAGUGGAAACUAGCAAGCUUGAGUGUGGUAGAGGUAGAGGGAAUUCCUGGUGUAGCGGUGAAAUGCGUAGAUAUUAGGAAGAACACCAAUGGCGAAAGCACUCUACUGGGCCACAACUGACACUGAGAGACGACAGCUAGGGGAGCAAAUGGGAUUAGAUACCCCAGUAGUCCUAGCCGUAAACGAUGGAUACUAGGUGUUGCACGUAUUAACCCGUGCAGUAUCGUAGCUAAGGCGUUAAGUAUCCCGCCUGGGAAGUACGCUCGCAAGAGUGAAACUUAAAUGAAUUGGCGGGG
rnacentral:rRNA from 1 species